UUUUAUUUCAUAUAGGAAACCUUUAGUUAAUUAAUAUUAAAAAAUUAAUUCUAACUUAAAUAUGCAUGGUAGCUCAUUGUUCUACAACAAUUCUACUCCUUUAGUUAAUUAAUAAUGGUAGUUCAUUAUUCUACAACAAUUCUAUCCCUUUAGUUAAUUGAUACAACAAUGCUACUAUCACAUAAAAAAAAGAUCGCAUAAUGCUCACAUACACACACAUGCAUACUGUGGGG
rnacentral:lncRNA from 1 species